UUAUGGAUAGGCGAAAUGUAAUUGUAGAUAUCCACUAUCCAAUUAUAGAUAUCUGGAAAUGAUUUUUGAUUAGAGAUAUCUCAAAUUGGAGAUAUCUGUAAUGUUCAUUCUGCCUAGUCGAAAUGUAAUUAAAGAUAUCUAGAAUAACAGUUUUGACUAGGCGAAAUGACGUUACAGAUAUCUGUAUGCAAAUGACCCAUGCACGCACCACCAACCCCCCUCCCCUUCCCCCACCCCUCACAUUUGGCGGGAGCACACAAACACACACACACACACACACACACACACCGCCAUUUUAGUGAUUAGUUGCACCUGUGAAAUGGACAACGAGCGUCAAGAAACCGUUUUCAAUCGUCUUUUCAACAUAGCUACUCGUGCAAGAGCAGAGUUGGCAAGCUCCAGUGCAGAUCAUGCCUAAAGUUACUUCAACGCGACGACCGACUGUUUCAUCGAGUACAGGUUAGGCGACGAGGACAUGAUGAGGACAAGCACUGUCAAGUCCUCUUCAGCUCCAAUGAUUAUAUCCAGUGCCCAAGGCUCCACGUCUCUAUGCACCAUUCAUCUCAACACUAACCAAAUGGUGGCUUUGUAACAGUGAUUGUGGGAGGAUGCUGUGCAGGUGUCAACAUGAAUGUGCCGGAGGACUAGAGUAUGCUGGCGUCGACACCCCACCUCCUCCCCUUCAGACUCCAUCGAGGGUUGGUCCCUGUCCUGUGAGGAGAGGAUGCAAUGGGUCUCUGCUUCAGCCGUGGCACCUUCUCUACAACCCUCGCCACUGUCACCAGUUUGUCCCCAUCCUGUGAAGGGGGGUAGGCUUUAGCCCCCUGCCUCAUCAAUCGGCAGGAUAAGCGCCCUCUUCUUUGAAACAGGACAUGUUUUAUUGAUGCUCUACAUGAGUAUUAUAUACAUGUAUAUAUACAGUGCCAUGUGUAUGUUUUUACCCCCCCUACUGAUUUUGUUUACUUUUUUGCACAUUUGGCACACUUAACAUUUUCAGAUAGCCACACUAAUGUAAACAUUACCCAUGACCCAAGUAAGCAUAAAAUGCAGUUUCUCAGUGAUUAA